ACAAGGUUCACUUAUGUUGUAAACAUGUAUCACUGCUCUCCUUUGUAUUGCCAAAUAAUAUUCCAUUGUGGAGAUGUAUCGUAUUAUUUAUCCAUUCAUCAGUUGAAAUGAACAAGUUUCCCACCUUGGAAAAUCUUCACCUAACCCUUCCUAAGUCCUCUACAGCAACAGCUCUGUUUCUUAGCCAAGACUGUGGAAUGAGAGGAAAUGUCUAGAAUUACUGAAAUCCAGAAUCUGAGUGGCAGAGGGCUCUACACCUAGUAGUUACACUAAAUUUUGUAGUUUAACUAUUCCUGAGACAGAGAGAGAUCAACAGUGAUCACACUAAGAUCCCAAUGCAGAAGGAGCAUUCACCUGAUGAUCUGAGGACAAGACUCUCCGUGUCUCCAAAGAAAAAGGAUACAGCUGUUUCCAUCUGUAAGUGGGGCACUGCUCUACAAGUUGACAACACUACUGUUCACACAGCCAAUUAAAAUUCUUUCCACACUGCUAAUGAAGAGUUCCAGUUGCAGAGUUUUUAAAUUCGGCUAAUUAAAACAAAAAAAAAAAGGAGCAAAACUAUUUAAGCCACAAGGAAGUACCUGACAAAA